CGAGAGGGGGCAAGCGUUAUUCGGAAUUAUUGGGCGUAAAGGGCGCGUAGGCGGCUUUUCAAGUGACGGGUGAAAUCCCUCGGCUUAACCGAGGAACUGCCUGUCAGACUGGAAGGCUUGAGACCGGGAGAGGUGAGUGGAAUUCCCAGUGUAGCGGUGAAAUGCGUAGAUAUUGGGAGGAACACCAGUGGCGAAGGCGGCUCACUGGACCGGAACUGACGCUGAGGCGCGAAAGCGUGGGGAGCAAACAGGAUUAGAUACCCUGGUAGUCCACGCCGUAAACGAUGAGUGCCUGGUGUAGCGGGUAUCGACCCCUGCUGUGCCGAAGUCAACACAUUAAGCACUCCGCCUGGGGAGUACGGUCGCAAGACUG
rnacentral:rRNA from 1 species